rnacentral:rRNA from 1 species
CUGGCGGCGUGCCUAAUACAUGCAAGUCGAACGGUCUUUCUAUGGAAGCUUGCUUCCACUGAGAAGAUAGUGGCGAACGGGUGGAGUAACACGUGGGUAACCUGCCCAUAAGAGGGGGAGUAACAUCCGGAAACGGGUGCUAAUACCGCAUAGUUUUCUUGAUCGCAUGAUCGGGAAAGGAAAGACGGCCUUUGUGCUGUCGCUUAUGGAUGGACCCGCGGCGUAUUAGUUAGUUGGUGAGGUAACGGCUCACCAAGACGAUGAUACGUAGCCGACCUGAGAGGGUGAUCGGCCACAUUGGGACUGAGACACGGCCCAAACUCCUACGGGAGGCAGCAGUAGGGAAUCUUCCGCAAUGGACGAAAGUCUGACGGAGCAACGCCGCGUGAGUGAAGAAAAGGUUUUCGGAUCGUAAAACUCUGUUGUCAGAGAAGAACAAGUUGGAGAGUAACUGCUCCAGCCUUGACGGUAUCUGACCAGAAAGCCACGGCUAACUACGUGCCAGCAGCCGC